rnacentral:rRNA from 1 species
GCUUAACGCGAAGAACCUUACCUGGGUUCGACAUGCACGUGAAACCCCUGUGAAAGCAGGGGCCUCCUUCGGGACACGUGCACAGGUGCUGCAUGGCUGUCGUCAGCUCGUGUCGUGAGAUGUUGGGUUAAGUCCCGCAACGAGCGCAACCCUUGCCCCGUGUUACUAACAGGUCAAGCUGAGGACUCUCGGGGGACUGCCGGCGUCAAGCCGGAGGAAGGUGGGGACGACGUCAAGUCAUCAUGGCCCUUACGCCCAGGGCUACACACGUGCUACAAUGGCCAGGACAGAGGGCUGCGAGACCGCAAGGUGGAGCGAAUCCCAGAAACCUGGCCCAAGUUCGGAUUGCGGGCUGCAACUCGCCCGCAUGAAGCCGGAAUCGCUAGUAAUCGCGGAUCAGCUACGCCGCGGUGAAUACGUUCCCGGGUCUUGUACACACCG